AUGGAAGAAUGCAAUCAUGCUGGUCCAAAUGACACAAUUAACAUGCCAUACGUUCCAUUAGAAACUUCAUUGAGGGAGGAGUUAGAUAGCUUGCCUGCCUUGUCCUCUUCGUGUUGUAUCUACAGAGUUCCCAAUGACAUACGACGUCUGUAGGAAAAGGCCUACACACCUCAAGUCAUCUCCAUAGGUCCACUUCAUCAUGGCAAGGAAGGUUUAGAAGCCAUGGAAGAGCUGAAAAAGAGGUACCUACGAGAUUUUAUGUGUCGGACUUAGAUAAGCUUGAAGGACUAUAUCAAGAAAAUAAGGGACCAAGAAGCAAGACUGAGAAGUUGUUAUGCAGAACCCAUCAAGUUUAGGAGUGAAGAAUUUGUAAAAAUCAUUCUAGUGGAUGCUGCCUUCACUAUUGAGUUCUUAUUGAGGAGACCGUUUAUUAAACAAACCGUGGAUGUUCAGGUAUGUACAGCCUGACAUGUGGAUGCUUGAAAAUCAGCUCCCAUUCUUCAUUCUUGAGGAUCUUUAUCACACAUACAUAAUAACCGACUCUUUUAGGAAUUAUUACAGUACUCAUGAUCAUGAGAGGCUUUCAAUAAUUAAUAUUUCAAAGAAUUUCUUCACAGCUGGAAUAUUGAAUUUGGAGGGGAAGGGAGACAAAUGGAACAGAAUAUCAUCUUCUUCUAGUUCUAUUAAUGUGCAACACUUUGUUGAUCUUAUAAGAAUUUUCUAUCUACCAUUGGAAUCAGAAUUAAGAGAUGCAGGGGAGCUCAAAACCUUGAACAUACCUAGCAUCAAAGAGAUGCACCAGGCUGGAGUCAAAAUUAAGGUAGGAUCAAGCAAAAACUUAGUCGACAUACAAUUUGCAAAUGGAACUCUCAAAAUUCCUAAAAUAAUGAUAACUGGUGACAAACUGCGGACCCUGGGAAAUGUCAUUGCCUUUGAACAAUGCCAUUGCAUGGAAGACGACUACUUAAACGAUUAUGUUAGCAUCAUGGGUCGUUUUGCGAACACUCCAAAGGAUGUGGAGUUGCUUGUUGAGUUUGGAAUUUUUCAAACUGCGGGUACCACCAGCGUGGUUUCAUCUAUGAUUACCAAACUUGCCUCUGAGGCUCUUUUCUUUGUCGACAGAUUCUGUUACGCGACUCUUUGUGAAGAGCUGAACAACUUCUGCAGAUCGUCCUGGAACAAAUGGAAGGCAAAUUUGAGACAAAAUUAUUUCAACACACCUUGGGCAUCUAUUUCUGUCAUUGCCGCUGUUGUUCUCCUCACACUCACUCUCAUACAAACGGUGUGCUCUGUUAUCUCUGCUACUUAACCAUUAAAGGGUAAGUCCCUGCUUUGCCGCUUUCUCUUCUGACAAUAAUA